rnacentral:rRNA from 1 species
GGGCGACUGAAGAUUUGUCGGAGUGAAGGUAAGGAAAUGAGUUUGGUUGGGCUGGUCUUAUUUGGGUAAAAUUGUGAAAUUUGUUAAUUUGUGGUAAGAUUGGUUCGGUCUAGGGGGCUCUGAUUCUUUGAAUUCUGGGGGAUAAAAUAGGAUUAGAUACCCUAGUAUGCCCAGUCGAAAAUGUGUAUUUCCGGGGUAGUAAACAGUUAUGAUCUCGAAAUCCAAAGAAUUUGGCGGUAUUUAAGUCUAGUUAGAGGAACUUGUGCAGUAAACGAUAGUCCGCGAGAAUCUUGCCUUGAUUUGUAAUUUUCAGUUUGUAUACCGCCAUUAUUAGGUGGCCCUGAUAGGGGUUUAUUAAAAUAGGGGAUACCCCCUAGGAUAUUAGGUCAAGGUGCAGCCGAUAUUAAGGAUGUUGUGAGUUACAAUGGAAUAGGUCCGUGAACGGAUAGGAUGAGGAAGGUUUGUCUUUGAAGGUGGAUUUAAUAGUAAUAUGGUGUGGAUUAUGCCUGUAUGAUAGGAGCUCUUGGAUAUGUACACAUCGCCCGUCGCCCUCGCUUC